rnacentral:rRNA from 1 species
AGGACGAACGCUGGCGGCGUGCUUAACACAUGCAAGUCGAGCGGAAAGGCCCUUCGGGGUACUCGAGCGGCGAACGGGUGAGUAACACGUGAGCAACCUGCCCUUAGCUUCGGGAUAGCUCCGGGAAACCGGAAUUAAUACCGAAUAUGACUUUGGCUGACAUCAGCAGAAGUGGAAAGUUUUUCGGCUAGGGAUGGACUCGCGGCCUAUCAGCUAGUUGGUGAGGUAACGGCCCACCAAGGCGACGACGGGUAG